AUGUCCCUCGGGACGCAACAGUGAGGAAUAUUUGUCAAUGGCCGGAAGGCUGAACCAGCCAAGCCGCGUGAAGGACGAAGGUGCCAAGCAUUGUAAACUUCUUUUGUCAAGGGACAAAAUCAGGCUCGAGAGCCUGACCGAGGGUACUUGAAGAAAAAGCAUCGGCUAACUCCGUGCCAGCAGCCGCGGUAAUACGGAGGAUGCGAGCGUUAUCCGGAUUUAUUGGGUUUAAAGGGUGCGUAGGCGGACUGUUAAGUCAGCGGUAAAAGCCCGGGGCUCAACCCCGGCGAGCCGUUGAAACUGGC
rnacentral:rRNA from 1 species